rnacentral:rRNA from 1 species
AUUGAACGCUGGCGGCAGGCCUAACACAUGCAAGUCGAACGAGUGGCGGACGGGUGAGUAAUGUCUGGGAAACUGCCUGAUGGAGGGGGAUAACUACUGGAAACGGUAGCUAAUACCGCAUACCAUCAGAUGGGCCAAGAUGGGAUUAGCUAGUUGGUGGGGUAACGGCUCACCAAGGCGACGCUCCCUAGCUGGUCUGAGAGGCUGACCAGCCACACUGGAACUGAGACACUGUCCAGACUCCGACGUGAGUCAGCAGUGGGGAAGAUUGCACAAUGGGCGCAAGCCUGAUGCAGCCCUGCCGCGUGUAUGACGAAGGCCUUCGGGUUGUAAAGUACUUUCAGCGGGGAGGCGGUACCCGCAGAAGUAGCACCGGCUAACUCCGUGCCAGCAGCCGCGGUAAUUG